rnacentral:rRNA from 1 species
GAUGAACGCUGGCGGCGUGCCUAAUACAUGCAAGUCGAGCGAACAGAUGAGGAGCUUGCUCCUCUGACGUUAGCGGCGGACGGGUGAGUAACACGUGGAUAACCUACCUAUAAGACUGGGAUAACUUCGGGAAACCGGAGCUAAUACCGGAUAAUAUAUUGAACCGCAUGGUUCAAUAGUGAAAGACGGUUUUGCUGUCACUUAUAGAUGGAUCCGCGCCGCAUUAGCUAGUUGGUAAGGUAACGGCUUACCAAGGCAACGAUGCGUAGCCGACCUGAGAGGGUGAUCGGCCACACUGGAACUGAGACACGGUCCAGACUCCUACGGGAGGCAGCAGUAGGGAAUAUUCCGCAAUGAGCGAAAGCCUGACGGAGCAACGCCGCGUGAGUGAUGAAGGUCUUCGGAUCGUAAAACUCUGUUAUUAGGGAAGAACAAAUGUGUAAGUAACUAUGCACGUCUUGACGGUACCUAAUCAGAAAGCCACGGCUAACUACGUG